UUUCAAAUCCUCUCUGAUCACUAUAUUUAAGGUAUAAAAUUUAACAGAAUUAUCCGUAUGAUAAGAGAAGAAAAGUAUAAAUAUUUAUAUACGAAAAGUUAGAAAAUAGUAUAAAGUUAAAAACAAUUGAUGAAGUGUCCACGUGUUUAUUUCCUGUUAGAACGUUUAUUGUGCAUGUGCAUAGAACACAUCCUUUUGACGUGUCUAUUUUUGGUACAGGUACCCGCUGUAGAAUGUUUGACAUCAGUAUGGCUUGGUCGAUGUGACGUGGCGAGGGAAUUUUAAAUCGUUUAAAGCGAUAAAUGAAAAACAAGACAACUGUCAUAUAUGCAUAGCAUAAGAAUUUCAAUGAAAGAUGUCCUUUAGUGUACUUCGCUGUGUCCCGCUGUCAAAAAUCGUCGCUUCGACAUCGCUGGUCUUAGGCGCCAAAUCAACCGUUGUUGUAUAACGGAAAGAGAAGGCACUGAUGUUUCACGUUUUAUUACUAAAUACAUAAGUGUAUAUCUGCUCUGGACAAAUACCAAAUUCGAACUCCCUAGACUGGGCGUUGAGACCACUAUUUAUAAUGACAGCUUGUAAUAAUGGCAACUUAUAAUGCAUAUACAUGCACGCGGUUAGAGUUACAUGUAGAACUCUCAUUUAUCAUUUUUGACAUACUAUUUCCACCCAGUCCAGUUUGCAUGUAUAUUGUAAUAUAAUAUAUAUAAAUCAAUGUCAUAUUUUACAGUUCACAUUAUGAAAUAAACACAUGCACUUAUACUUAAAUCUUUGUUGUCAUUCUUUUGUA